UACGUAGGGGGCUAGCGUUGUCCGGAAUCAUUGGGCGUAAAGCGCGCGUAGGCGGCCCGGUAAGUCCGCUCUGAAAGUCCAGGGCUCAACCCUGGAAAGCGGGUGGAUACUGCCGGGCUAGAAUCCGGAAGAGGCGAGUGGAAUUCCUGGUGUAGUGGUGAAAUGCGUAGAGAUCGGGAGGAACACCCGUGGCGAAGGCGGCUCACUGGGCUGACCUUGACGCUGAGGCGCGAAGGCGUGGGGAGCGAACGGG
rnacentral:rRNA from 1 species